rnacentral:rRNA from 1 species
UGGGGAAGUCUUGCGCAAUGGGCGAAGACCUGACGCAGCAACGCCGCGUGCGGGAUGACGGCCUUCGGGUUGUAAACGACUUCUAGCAGGGACGCGGUACCUGCAGAAGAAGCCCCGGCUAACUACGUGCCAGCAGCCGCGGUAAUACGUAGGGGGCGAGCGUUGUCCGGAAUCAUUGGGCGUAAAGAGCUCGUAGGCGGUUCAGUAAGUCGGGUGUGAAAGCUCCGAGCUCAACUCGGAGAGGCCACUCGAUACUGCUGGACUAGAAUCCAGUAGGGGAGUGUGGAACUCCUGGUGUAGCGGUGAAAUGCGCAGAUAUCAGGAAGAACACCAGCGGCGAAGGCGGCACUCUGGGCUGGUAUUGACGCUGAGGAGCGAAAGUGUGGGUAGCAAACAGGAUUAGAUACCCCA